CUCCUGUGCCAUUAGAGCACAGCAGGAGGCAUGGAGCAGAUGCCUUCUCCUCCUUCCCCACGGGGUCCCCAGGUCUGCCCUGGGGAGUACCUGUAAGAGAUGGCAAGUCACAUACCUUUCUAUUUCUGCUUCGCUCAGAAAGCCUGGUGCAUCAUCUGGAAACAGACUCAGGUAAACAGCUGGGGGUUUCGGGAGCCUUUCUCUCAUCCACCCACUCAACCCAAGGCAGCAAACAGAGCAGUUAAAUACACCACGUCUGGAGCCUGGUUACUGGGCUCUCUGCUCCAGCUCUCGCUGGGUAUGAGGCAUCCGGCAAGCCGUUAAGCCUCUUUGUUCCAGUCUCUUCACUGGAAAUGGAAAGAGACAAUGGAAAACACACUGGUUCUAGCCCCAUACGUAGCCACCAGGUAAUGAGGCAGUUAGUGUAGCACCUGGCACAUAGUGAGGGCUCAAUGUUUGUUACUUGUGUAGGCAUUAUUUCCCCCCAAAUAUUUAUGAAGUUCUUGGUUGUGUGUGUGUGUGUGUGUGUGUGUGUGUGUGUGUGUGUGUAAUGCCCGGCACUGUGCCAGACUCUGCUGACUUGAACAGAUACUGUAUAAUUUAAAACCUAGCAUUUACUUUGAGAUUGGUGCUUAAAGAAGAAACUAUUUCCACAAAUAUCACCACAUUUGCUUCUCACACUUAAUGUGCAAGAAAAACCACCCGGGGGAUCUUGUUAAAAUGCAGAUUCUGGUUCAGUAGGGAUGGGGCCCAAGAUUCUGCAUCAAAAAAAAAAAAGUUUAUUUAUUUUGAGAGAAAGCGGGGGAGGAGAAAAGAGAGAGGGAGAGGGAGAGAGAGAUCCCAAGCAGGCUCCACAAUGUCAGUGCAGAGCCUGAUGUGGGGCUUGAUCCCAGGGAGAUCAUGACCUGGGCUAAAACCAAGAGUCAGACGCCUAACCGAAUGAGCCACCCAGGCACCCCCAGGAUUCUGCACUUUUACAAGCUCCCUGGCGAGGCCGUUCAGGGGCUGCACUUUGAAAAACAAAAUCUCACAGCUGAGCAGCACUUGCGUGUUGGGUAGCAUUGCUCCCGCCUCGGUCCUUACACAACAGAAGGGGAAGCUGAGGUUCAGGACAGAAAGGCGCUGGCAGGUGGCACCUACUGGAGCGCUUUUUGCCCCGCCCCGAGCGGCGCAUGCGCCCCAGGGCUCCCCUCCACGCCCUGCUCUCCUCCCCCAGGGGCCGGGACCCGGGACCCUCCGGCCGCCAGCUGGAGCACGGCCCUCUCCGAGGACAGGAAGCCGACGAGGUUCACCCGGGACCAGCAGGACCUGCCUCACUGCCCCUGGAGCUCCGAGGGUGUCCCCUUGGCGCUCGGCUGCCCCGGCGGCACCUCCGGGCGCCCCCGCGGGCAUGUGCAAGUGCAGCCCAGAGCCCGCGGAGGGCGUCCUAAUACAGUGUACGACGAACCAGCCAGACGCUGAAAACUUGAAAGGCAACGGAAUCUGUGACCGCGACACAAGCCUGUCCCUCCUUGUAACUCCGAGCUUCCUGAUUUACCAGACCCCACUGUUCAAUAAAGUGACAUUUGCUUUCGGGUCCAACUAACCUCUCAAAUAUGUAUUAUCAUCCCCGUUCCUGUUGGAUGAUGAGGCUUUGUCUCACUCCCCCUGCACUCAACUCGUGUUCUGGGCAGGCCAGGCGUUUUGGCCGCGUAUGAAGUUGAGAACACAAAUGAGAUGCUUACACUGUAUUUCCACGUCUAGUGCUGCUACUCUCAUGGUGAGUGUCCAGUGAUUUAGGCUGUGGGUAUGCAUCUAGGGAGGCCCUGGGCCAAAAUUAAAUUGCCCUGCAUAAGGAAGAAAGUAGGAUUCAGAGGCUUCAGGGGAAAGUUGAGUCUGAGGACUGGAGCUGCCUCGAGGGAAAGAAUCCACUUGGUGGCCCCACUGGAAAACCUGAAAAUAUUUGUGUUGCAAUGUUUGUGAUGUAAAACCGGCCUUUAUCGCCUGCACAGGAGCCUCAGCCUAGUUGACCUUGGGCUCGAUGCUUCUGGAAGCCUUGCUGGGCUCCGGGAAUCUGGAAUGUGAGAGGCUGAGCACUGUUCACUACCGGGCAGGAGGCAGAGACUCCACAAAACAAGUGUGUGGCUGCUGGUUUACGUGAGGAGCUGUCACACACCGGGACGUGCCCCUGAGGACCAGGGCGGCCCAGGUGGAGUCUGUCCAAAGCCCAAGAACAGUAAUUACAGCAGGCAGGAUGUGACAGACACCCAGGCCAGAGCACUGCCUCUGUGCCCUGGUCGUGCUCCGCAGGCUUGCUGGCUUUCCUCAUGCCGUUUUCCCCACGAAUCUCUGUUCUUUCCUUUUUCCUUGGACCCCCGGUGCAGACAGCUGACUCAGUCAUACUCCAUGGUUCUGGGUGCAAAACUGUGCAGGGUCUUCUUGUUUUAUUUAUACUUUCUCCCUUGUCUCCAAGUCCCAUUCCCAUUCUCUUCACCCCGUGGGCAGUGGCUCUUGAAUGUUCUCACAAACCCUCGGAUACAGAGGGGUCCUUGCACACACAAGUAGUACGGGACUGUUUCUUCCUUCUUUAAACCUAGUACCACGGU
rnacentral:lncRNA from 1 species